AUUGAACGCUGGCGGUAUGCUUAACACAUGCAAGUCGAACGGUAGCAGGCCUUCGGGCGCUGACGAGUGGCGGACGGGUGAGUAACGCGUAGGAAUCUGCCUCAUAGUGGGGGACAACGUGUGGAAACGCACGCUAAUACCGCAUACGCCCUACGGGGGAAAGCGGGGGACCUUUGGGCCUCGCGCUAUGAGAUGAGCCUGCGUUAGAUUAGCUAGUUGGUGGGGUAAAGGCCUACCAAGGCGACGAUCUAUAGCUGGUCUGAGAGGACGAGCCGCCAAACUGGGACUGAGACACGGCCCAGACUCCUACUGGAGGCAGCAGUGGGGAAUAUUGGACAAUGGGCGCAAGCCUAAUCCAGCAAUACCGCGUGUGUGAAGAAGGCCCUAGGGUUGUAAAGCACUUUCAAUAGGGAGGAAAACCUGCCGGUCAAUACCCGGUAGCUUGACAUUACCUAUACAAGAAGCACCGGCUAACUCCGUGCCAGCCGCCGCGGUAAUAC
rnacentral:rRNA from 1 species